ensembl:lincRNA
AUGGGAAGAUGGAGAUGGAUGUUGAGGGAGUUUCUCCGCGCCCGGAGCCCAUCCCCCGCUCCCAAGGGGUUGGCGGAGCCUGCCAGGCGCCGCCACAGCCGCCCCAGCCCCAGCUGCCGCCGCAGCCGCUGGCUCAGGAUGAACUGCCCGGCGAGAGUGCCGGCGCUGAGGACAGCGACGAUCCCGAGACGAGACCCAACGGCGAGAAAGGAGAGAGCAAGAGAUACCAUGGACUUUAAGGUGAUGAAUACCACAAUGAGCUCACUACAAGAUCUCAAAGAUUCCAAGCCACUGGCUAUUCCAAAGCAUAAAGCCACCCUUCAGGAGAAGCGUUGGGAGGCAGGCUGAGGGGAGGCCCUGAGUUUUUGCCAGAGGAUGGAUCACCCCUUUGGGUGUCCUGGGAGCCACUGAAGCAUAGUGAGGAAGGUGUUGCAGAUGCACAGGACAGAAACCCAGAAACUGGAACCAACAGGCACCUAAAGUUGACUCGCACCCAGCAUCCCUGCAGACUGAUGUUCUCUGAGCUGUAGUUCUUCACUGGACUGUUUUUCCUUUGCUAUCACCUGCCUAACACAUAGUGCUGGAUGCUUUUGACUGGUUGGAUUUCUUUUUUUUUUUUCCUGUAUUUUUUCUUUCCUUGAUUCUGGGAAUUAUAAAAAAAAAAUUGCUUUAAAAAGUAUUAUUCUGUGCUGAAAUUAGCCUUGUUUAUGAAGAAGUUUUAUCCCUAGGGAUUUCCUGAAUUGCAGCCCCAGGUUACCUGGUAAAUAGGGCUGUGUUGUUUGAUUUGUAUAGUACUGAUCUGUAGGUUAAAAUACAUUUCCUUUCUUUUGUUUCAUUCUUUUUUUAAAAAGUUUGGAUCCAGGUAGUGGCCUGAGUCACAUUUGCUUAGCUACUGAAGCGAUCUCAACGUGGUAUCGCUUAGAUUUGAAACAUAAUCAAACAUACAUUAUACCUGAGGCUCUUGCACACUAUUUGACGUAUAUGUUACACUACAAAGAAACACAAACCUUGUGGCUUGAAAUUUAAUUCCUGUUUGAUCCUGCAGCUAGAAUGCUAAAGAAAUUGUAAAUAUCAAAAGUGGCUUCAAAUACCCUGAAUGUAAGCUAGUCAACAGUAAGUGGAUGGUUUCAGAAUACCAUUUUCUAAGACAAAGCAGGAAUUAGAGAUCUACUGCCCACAUCCACAAUGUUGCUCAGGUCUGUCUGUGGAUCUGUCCAUUUUGGAGUAAAGAACAAGGCAUGCUUCUGUGAUUGUGCUUACGAAAACUGUGGUGUUUCCGAUUUAUGUUUUGUAAUUGUGCCUGCCUUGCAAUAAAACACCUUCAGUUGACUCAGCAAUAAGGUCUCUGUCAAUUUCCUGCAAAACUGUGUCUUUAGUAGCUUUCUAAGAAAGUCCAGUGUAGACCUAUCAGUGGUUGACCUGUUAGACAUUUCAGCUGGACCUAGCAUUAUUGCUCUUUCAGAAAUAGCACCAGAGCUGUCCAUUGUCUACACAUGUGGUCAGUUAUAUGGUCAGCUUCUCAAUUUUUCUUAUUACCAUCAGCUACAGAAAUCUCUAGUCACAGCCUAACCCUGUUACGUAGAUGUGCGGCCAUCUGCCAUCGUGUUCUAACUCUGGAGUCCCUAUUUAUUUCUGAGACUCUAGGACAAGCCAAAAACCCUCUGGACCUCAGUGUCUUCAUAAACAAAAUGGGGAUAAUGAUACUUCCUGUGAUUGUGGUGAUAAGUGCCUGUAAAAGGGCAUUACAUAGAUGGUACUUUGAACAUUGUAAAUUCAUUUGGAUGUGGCAAUACUCAAUGAAUGGUGGCUAUUUUAUUUGUUAAUAAAG